GAUGAACGCUGGCGGCGUGCCUAAUACAUGCAAGUCGAGCGAAUGGAUUAAGAGCUUGCUCUUAUGAAGUUAGCGGCGGACGGGUGAGUAACACGUGGGUAACCUGCCCAUAAGACUGGGAUAACUCCGGGAAACCGGGGCUAAUACCGGAUAACAUUUUGAACCGCAUGGUUCGAAAUUGAAAGGCGGCUUCCGCUGUCACUUCUGGAUGGACCCGCGUCGCAUUAGCUAGUUGGUGAGGUAACGGCUCACCAAGGCAACGAUGCGUAGCCGACCUGAGAGGGUGAUCGGCCACACUGGGACUGAGACACGGCCCAGACUCCUACGGGAGGCAGCAGUAGGGAAUCUUCCGCAAUGGACGAAAGUCUGACGGAGCAACGCCGCGUGAGUGAUGAAGGCUUUCGGGUCGUAGAACUCUGUUGUUAGGGAAGAACAAGUGCUAGUUGAAUAAGCUGGCACCUUGACGGAACCUAACUAGAAAGCCACGGCUAACUACGUGCCAGCAGCCGCCGUAA
rnacentral:rRNA from 1 species